UGCAGAUGAUGUUCUUUCUCACGAUGGUCUUCCAAGCCACAGUGGCCUUGACGACGCUGCCAAACGGCAACACUGAUGCAACUUG
ensembl:snoRNA small nucleolar RNA SNORD35